rnacentral:rRNA from 1 species
CUGGCUCAGGACGAACGCUGGCGGCGUGCCUAAUACAUGCAAGUCGAACGGUCUUUCUAUGGAAGCUUGCUUCCACUGAGAAGAUAGUGGCGAACGGGUGAGUAACACGUGGGUAACCUGCCCAUAAGAGGGGGAUAACAUCCGGAAACGGGUGCUAAUACCGCAUAGUUUUCUUGAUCGCAUGAUUGAGAAAGGAAAGACGGCCUUUGUGCUGUCGCUUAUGGAUGGACCCGCGGCGUAUUAGUUAGUUGGUGAGGUAACGGCUCACCAAGACGAUGAUACGUAGCCGACCUGAGAGGGUGAUCGGCCACAUUGGGACUGAGACACGGCCCAAACUCCUACGGGAGGCAGCAGUAGGGAAUCUUCCGCAAUGGACGAAAGUCCGACGGAGCAACGCCGCGUGAGUGAAGAAAGGUUUUCGGAUCGUAAAACUCUGUUGUCAGAGAAGAACAAGUUGGAGAGUAACUGCUCCAGCCUUGACGGUAUCUGACCAGAAAGCCACGGCUAACUACGUGCCAGCCGCAGC